rnacentral:rRNA from 1 species
CCUACGGGUGGCAGCAGUGGGGGAUAUUGCACAAUGGGGGGAACCCUGAUGCAGCGACGCCGCGUGGGUGAAGGAGUGCUUCGGCAUGUAAAGCCCUAUCGGCAGGGAAGAAGCAAGACGGUACCUAACUAAGAAGCCCCGGCUAACUAGGUGCAAGCAGCCGCGGUAAUCCGUAGGGGGCGAGCAUUAUCCGGAGUGACGGGGUGUAAAGAGUUGCGUAGGAGGAAUAAUAAGUAGCUAGGUAAAGCGGGGGGCUCAACCAUUCAGACUAUUAGCUAAACUGUUAAGCUCGAGACCGUUAGGGGUAACUGGAAUUUCUAGUGUAGGAGUGAAAUCCGUAGAUAUUAGAAGGAACACCAAUAGCGUAGGCAGGUUGCUGGGACGGUUCUGACACUAAGGCACGAAAGCGUAGGGAGCAAACGGGAUUAGAUACCCGGGUAGUC